rnacentral:rRNA from 1 species
CCUACGGGAGGCAGCAGUGGGGAAUAUUGGACAAUGGGGGCAACCCUGAUCCAGCCAUGCCGCGUGUGUGAAGAAGGCCCUCGGGUUGUAAAGCACUUUCAGUGAGGAAGAACGCCUGGUGGUUAAUACCCAUCAGGAAAGACAUCACUCACAGAAGAAGCACCGGCUAACUCCGUGCCAGCAGCCGCGGUAAUACGGAGGGUGCGAGCAUUAAUCGGAAUUACUGGGCGUAAAGCGCGCGUAGGUGGCUUGAUAAGCCGGUUGUGAAAGCCCCGGGCUCAACCUGGGAACGGCAUCCGGAACUGUCAAGCUAGAGUGCAGGAGAGGAAGGUAGAAUUCCCGGUGUAGCGGUGAAAUGCGUAGAGAUCGGGAGGAAUACCAGUGGCGAAGGCGGCCUUCUGGACUGACACUGACACUGAGGUGCGAAAGCGUGGGUAGCAAACAGGAUUAGAUACCCUAGUAGUC